GUGAGGAAUAUUGCGCAAUGGAGGCAACUCUGACGCAGCCAUGCCGCGUGCAGGAAGAAGGCGCUACGCGUUGUAAACUGCUUUUAACCGGGAAGAAACCCCAGGACGUGUCCUGGGUUGACGGUACCGGAGGAAUAAGCACCGGCUAACUUCGUGCCAGCAGCCGCGGUAAUCCGAAGGGUGCAAGCGUUAUCCGGAUUCAUUGGGUUUAAAGGGUGCGUAGGCGGAGCGUUAAGUCAGUGGUGAAAUCCUGCAGCUUAACUGUAGACUUGCCAUUGAUACUGGCGCUCUUGAGUGCGCUUGAAGUGGGCGGAAUGUGCCGUGUAGCGGUGAAAUGCUUAGAUAUGGCACAGAACACCAAUUGCGAAGGCAGCUCACUAAGGCGAUACUGACGCUGAGGCACGAAAGCGUGGGGAUCGAACAGGAUUAGAAACCCGGGUAGUCC
rnacentral:rRNA from 1 species